GACGAACGCCGGCGGCGUGCUAACACAUGCAAGUCGAGCGGAAAGGCCCUUUUGGGGGUACUCGAGCGGCGAACGGGUGAGUAACACGUGAGUAAUCUGCCCCUGGCUUUGGGAUAGCCACCGGAAACGGUGAUUAAUACCGGAUAUGACCAGCUACUGCAUGGUGGUUGGUGGAAAGUUUUUCGGCCAGGGAUGUGCUCGCGGCCUAUCAGCUUGAUGGUGAGGUAAUGGCUCACCAUGGCUUCGACGGGUAGCCGGCCUGAGAGGGUGACCGGUCACACUGGGACUGAGACACGGCCCAGACUCCUACGGGAGGCAGCAGUGGGGAAUAUUGGACAAUGGGCGGAAGCCUGAUCCAGCAACGCCGCGUGAGGGAUGACGGCCUUCGGGUUGUAAACCUCUUUCAGUACCGACGAAGCGCAAGUGACGGUAGGUACAGAAGAAGCACCGGCCAACUACGUGCCAGCCGCCGCGGUAAUAC
rnacentral:rRNA from 1 species